GAUGAAGAACGUAGCGAAAUGCGAUAAGUAAUGUGAAUUGCAGAAUUCAGUGAAUCAUCGAAUCUUUGAACGCACCUUGCACCCUUUGGAAUUCCAAAGGGUAUGCUCGUUUGAGUGUCAUUGUACUCUCACACUCUCCGAUCCUUUGGAUUUGGGGAGCGGUGGACUUGGGUGCUUGCUGCUUUCAUUGUGGCUCACCUCAAAUGUGUCAGUGCAUCUCUUGAUUGGACAUAGUACGGCGUGAUGUGUGUCUUCGCCGGCACCUCAUAAGAGGGUGGCCGAUCAGGAGCUCUGUGCUUUCAAACUGUCUUCGGACAAUCUCUGACAACUUGACCUCAAAUCGAGUAGGACUACCCGCUGAACUUAAGCAUAUCAAUAAGCGGAGG
rnacentral:misc_RNA from 1 species